CAGGGACGAAAAAAAUGACGGUACCUGCAGAGGAAGCAUCGGCUAACUACGUGCCAGCAGCCGCGGUAAGACGUAGGAUGCGAGCGUUGUCCGGAUUUAUUGGGCGUAAAGAGUUCGUAGGUGGUUUGUUAAGUCUGAUGUAAAAGACUGGGGCUCAACCUCGGGACUGCAUUGGAUACUGGCAGACUUGAGUGCAGUAGAGGCAAGCGGAAUUCCAGGUGUAGCGGUGAAAUGCGUAGAUAUCUG
rnacentral:rRNA from 1 species